CCGCCCGUCACACCAUGGGAGUUUGUUGCACCAGAAGCAGGUAGCUUAACCGCAAGGAGGGCGCUUGCCACGGUGUGGCCGAUGACUGGGGUG
rnacentral:rRNA from 1 species